UGGACUGGCUUUAAAAUGAGCUUUAAUGGCUCCAAAUAAUUUUGUGGAAGUAGCUUAAAGGGGAAUAGUCACAUGACAGCCACUCCAGAAUGUUUCCUAUAAGUCACUUGGGACUUAUUAAUGACUUCAAGUCAAGCGCAAAGCUUCAUAGGACAUAUUUGACACAUUUAAAAGUGUUUCCGGUGAUGCCUUCAAAGGACGGGACCAAGCCACGAAAUAUUUGCCUGAGAGUCUUCCGCCAUCUACUGGUAGAAAUUGAGUACAGCAUGGCUUCCCUGCAUCAUACUGUGCUGUUCAUAGUAUUCCUGCUACUUCAUUUACAGUACCUACUUCAAAUAAAUAGCAGAGGCAGUUGGUGUUCAGCUCUUUUUGGUUAUGGCCAUAAUAUUUUGACCUGAUUCUCAUAAUAUUACAACUUUUCCCCCAACCUAUUUUUCCAAAAAUUGCAACUUUAUUUUGUCUUUUUUAUUUUAUUUUUUACUUUAUGCUACUAACAAGACGUUUUUUUUUCCUAGUAAUGUAAAAUUGCCGUUGAUUUUUACAUUUUUGCUGGGUUUUUUUUUUUGGUUUGUUUUUGUUAGUUUCGUCAUUAAAUUAUAUUUUUUUAGAAUGUGCAGCGAGCCAAUAAAAAUAUAGACGGGGGCUGCAAAUGGAUUAGCUCCGCCUCCAUUGCAGCAGCCAGCCUAUAGCGACCGUCUUCCGCCCACUUCCGUGUCACAAAGCCAAAACAAGCGUGUCUGUCGUCUGGGACUUCCUGUCGUUGUGAGAGUGAUACAAGUUUUGCACACUGCAAAGCACGCCUUAAAAAACUUUCAUUUUGGUGCGUCGGGCACUUGGCAGGGUGUGGUGACUUUUCCCGACUCGCGAUGUGAUGUAAUUAGCGAAAACGCGGGACACGCGCCCGUGAUAGCUGGAACUGUGGUUGUAUUCGUCCGGAGUGGAUGGCCGGUGUCGAGGCGGUGGCCGGUGUACACCGGCGGCGGUGGAUGAAAAAGUAGACCGGCCGUAGCAGCUUGUAUGACUGGUUGGGACCGAGGCGUCACAUGGUUUCAAGUUCUACGCGAUUCCACAUUUAAUUGGCCAAUUCCGUGAUAUCACAGGGCCCUACAUUUCUGUGAAAAACGGCUCCGUUUAUGUUUACAUGUGCCAACAAGCAAUUGCUCCUUUCGGUUUCCAUUUCGGUUGUGUCGACAACGGCGUAUGUCGGAGUCAGCCGGUGGAUUCUUCUUUUGAAAAUCCCCCAAAUUGACAUAACAAUGUGAGAAUGUUCGUAGCUCAAAAAGAGGUUACGUUAAAUGUGACUUUUUUGUGUCUUUCCUGCAGCUAUUUAUGAUGCCAGACUUUUUUGGUUGUUUUUCAUAGCUUCUCAUUUCUUUCUUUGGAAAGCGGCCAAGGCCAUUAUUUCAUAAUCUCAGCGGGUGUUACAAAUUGUGUUGCGUAGCAACUAAUCAUCCUUUUUGCCUAAUCGUAGAAGUAUUUCUGCACGGUUUCCUAGAUGUUAUAUAUCUGGGGGACAGCAUUGAGUGCUUUUUUUAUGUGAUCUCACACUGGAGGUAGUACCUUGUUAUCAUCAUUGACUACAUUUACAUGCCGUCAAAUAACCCUAUCAUAACCGGAAUAUUAGCAAUAACCCGCUUGCGCACGGCCAUGUAAACACCAAAAACCCAUUGGCAUUGUGUAGUACUAGUUACAUAGUUACACUACACUACUAAGUACAAGUUACGCUAUUUUUCUGGCUUUUGUUUCUGCAUAGCUUCUUGAUAUUUUUUUGUUGAAGGGAAUAGAAGCUAGUACUUCACACGAGAUCAUUGCUACUACAAAGCAAGCUGUAUAAGAUACUAAUACAAAUAUAAAUAUGAAAAAUAGGGAUGCUCCGAUCGAUUGGCCACUGAUCAAAAUCGGCGGAUUUCCAUGAAACGGCACGUUAUCGGCACGUGCCGAUAAAUGCCUUUCAACGGCGAUCACAAAACCCGAUCACCUGUGGCUCGUACUAUUGCAGCAUGCAGCCUGCAGCGAGCGUCUCCCGCCCACUUUCCUUCACACUGCGCAGACGCGGCAAACCCGAAACAAUCAUGUCUGCCGUGUGGGACUAACCUGUUGUUUGUGAGAGUGAUAUCAAUUUUGCACCCUGCAAAACAUGCCACGAAAAAUAUCUCACGGGAUAGCGUGUCAACAAUCUUUAAUAUAAUACAGCAAUUGAAGAACAAACACUUGACGUAGUAUGGUGAGUUUUCGAGGCCCAAGAUGUGAUCAACAGUCUAAAGGCAGCUAGUAUACAAUGCUUGCACGUACUGUAUGUGCGUGACAAUCUGAAGCAAAUAACCCGAAAAUAAUUGAAUUCACCGGACAAGAUGAGCAGCCUCUCUCAGCGGUGGAAGACACUGGGACUGCGCUUUCACUUGGAGGUGAUUUUAUGGUUCCCUUUUUCAUAUCACAUAGCCAAUAGCAGGGGUGCAACCAGGAAUUAUGGGCAAAAAAUCAUCUGGGGAUGGCCGCAUCAGCGACCGCCGUUUGACGACCCUGCACCACCUGAAGCGCCAGUGUUCCAAAUUGUUGUUUUCAAUAAAUUACUUUUUCAAAAUGA